rnacentral:rRNA from 1 species
AGUGAACGCUGGCGGUAGGCCUAACACAUGCAAGUCGAACGGCAGCACAGUAAGAGCUUGCUCUUACGGGUGGCGAGUGGCGGACGGGUGAGGAAUACAUCGGAAUCUACUUUUUCGUGGGGGAUAACGUAGGGAAACUUACGCUAAUACCGCAUACGACCUACGGGUGAAAGCAGGGGAUCUUCGGACCUUGCGCGAUUGAAUGAGCCGAUGUCGGAUUAGCUAGUUGGCGGGGUAAAGGCCCACCAAGGCGACGAUCCGUAGCUGGUCUGAGAGGAGGAUCAGCCACACUGGAACUGAGACACGGCCCAGACUCCUACGGGAGGCAGCAGUGGAGAAUAUUGGACAAUGGGCGCAAGCCUGAGCCAGCCAUACCGCGUGGGUGAAGAAGGCCUUCGGGUUGUAAAGCCCUUUUGUUGGGAAAGAAAAGCAGCAGGUUAAUACCCCGCUGUUCUGACGGUACCCAAAGAAUAAGCACCGGCUAACUUCGC